rnacentral:rRNA from 1 species
UACAGAGGUCUCAAGCGUUGUUCGGAUUCAUUGGGCGUAAAGGGUGCGUAGGUGGCGCCAUAAGUCGGGUGUGAAAUCUCGGGGCUUAACUCCGAAACUGCAUUUGAUACUGGCGUGCUUGAGGACUGGAGAGGAGACUGGAAUUCAUGGUGUAGCAGUGAAAUGCGUAGAGAUCAUGAGGAAGACCAGUGGCGAAGGCGGGUCUCUGGACAGUUCCUGACACUGAGGCACGAAGGCCAGGGGAGCAAACGGG